AUGGACGCCUUCGGCUGGAGCACGCAGCCUCCUGUGACGACCGUGCCGAGCUGCCCGACCGACGACGCCCUCCUCGCCGCCUUCCUGGGCGCGGGCAGCUUCGAGGAGCUCCACUCCGCCGGCGCCGGCGACGGCACCGUGUGCUCCGACGCCUACCACGGCGGCCUCGACCUGCCGUCGUGCCAGAGCGACCUCAGCCUCCUGCGGUGCCAGGACGGCGUGGCGCUUCCCGGCCACGGCGACGGCGACGCGUCGUCCAACGUCUUUCUCGACUCGGCGGGUUGUUUCCUCCCGGCUAUCGCCGGCGCGCAUGAUGGGCUCCAUGACAGGUUCGCGUUCGUCCCUGAUGAUCCCGCGCAGGCUGCCGGCUCCAACACCGCCUUCUCCGGGUACAGCACCACCACCGGAGGCGUCGGCGGUGGGAACGUCUCCUCCGGCGAGUCCAACACGUACGGCGGUGGCGGGCACGAUACGGAGGUUGCGUCGCCGCCAUGCGCCGUGUCGUCGCGGCGGGUGCAGCAGAUUAGUCAGGUGGCCCCGCCCCCAACGAAUGGGAACAAGAUGCCGGACAAGCUCCCGGCAGCGGCGGCGACGACGGUGGAGGGCAGAGAACGCUGGGGCACGAACCGAGCCGCCGCGCCGACGACCAGCAUCACGUUCGGGCACAGCGGCGGCCGGCGCGGGUACGAGCCGGACAAGGAGGCGAUAGCGCAGGUCAAGGAGAUGAUCUACCGCGCGGCGGCGAUGCGCCCCUUGCCCAGCUUGACCGACGCCACCGCCGGAGAGACGCCGCAUGAGCCGUCGUCGUCGAAGCCCCGGCGGCGCAAGAACGUGCGGAUAUCGAGCGACCCGCAGACGGUGGCGGCGCGGCUGCGGCGGGAGAAGGUGAGCGAGCGGCUGCGGGCGCUGCAGAGGCUGGUGCCGGGAGGGAGCAAGAUGGACACGGCGUCCAUGCUCGACGAGGCGGCCAGCUACCUCAAGUUCCUCAAGUCGCAGGUCGCGGCCCUGGAAAGCCUAGGCGGCGGGGGCGGCGCCGGCGGUGACGACGACGGCCGGUACUCGUCGGUGCAACGGUACACGGGAAGGAAUUUCAACCCUUCGGCCCGUGGCAUCGGCGGCGGCGGCAGCACCGUACUCUCCUUCGGGAGAGACGGCGUCGCUGGCUACGUGAGAUCCAGUAGGAACUGA
rnacentral:rRNA from 1 species